rnacentral:rRNA from 1 species
CAGCCGCCGCGGUAAUACGGAGGGAGCUAGCGUUGUUCGGAAUUACUGGGCGUAAAGCGCGCGUAGGCGGUUACUCAAGUCAGAGGUGAAAGCCCGGGGCUCAACCCCGGAACUGCCUUUGAAACUAGGUGACUAGAAUCUUGGAGAGGUCAGUGGAAUUCCGAGUGUAGAGGUGAAAUUCGUAGAUAUUCGGAAGAACACCAGUGGCGAAGGCGACUGACUGGACAAGUAUUGACGCUGAGGUGCGAAAGCGUGGGGAGCAAACAGGAUUAGAUACCCCGGUAGUCCCUGUCUCUUAUAC